AAUGUUUAUUUAAUUUUUAUAUUAAAUAUUUGUAGAACGAUGAAGCAAAAAAAAUAAUCCAAAAAGUAGAAAAAAAAAAAAACACGCUAAAACGCAUUGAUGAUAUAAUUUUGAAUUAUUACAACAUUGACAGUGAAAGUACACUUGAAUAUAUUGUUAAAAAUGUGCUUUUUACCCAAAAUUUGUUAAGCGAGAAGUACCCCUGCAGCAUACCCAAGUUGAAAAACUUGAAAACUGGCUAUAUAGAAUAUUAUGAAAAGAGCAGGACCAAAAAAAAAUUACAUUCUAAAAAAAAAAAUAAAGAUAAUAAGAACAAAUUAAGUGAAAAUAAUUUUGAUGACAAAUCACCUGAAGAAACCUCAAAAGAUAUGGGUAUAAGUUAUGAUGAAGAAUAUCGCUCUGUUUGAUUUAGCAACCGAUGUCAUGUAUUAUAUAUAUACAUAUACAUAUAUAUAUUAUUUACUAAUUUAAACUUUCACAGUUUUUGCAAUUCUCUAUUUUUUUUUUUUUUUUUAUACUUUUUAUUUUAUCAAUUUUUUUAACAUUUUUUAUGUAAAAGUGAGUAAUGUUUUUAUACAUGUCACAACUGUUUUUGUUAACCGACCAAUCACUCGAGUAUUUUUUUUUUUUUGCAUAUGGUAAAAACAUUUGACUAGAUAUAUACAAAUAUAUAUAUAUAUAUAUAUAUAGUACUAAUUAAUUGCUAAUAAAGCAGUAUAUUAAAAAAAAAAAAAAAAAAGC
rnacentral:lncRNA from 1 species